rnacentral:misc_RNA from 1 species
UUUUUUUGAAAUCGCAUGAUGAAUAACUAUAGUUUAAAAUACUGAUCAUUUGUUUCGUCUGGUACAAUAUUUACUUACAUGAUAGAACAGAGACCAAGGGAUUGCAAGAAGCUGAAGUUGGCAGAAUCCGGAAAACCAGACCUGAAGAUGCCAAUAUCGACCAUGGUGCAGUUCAUAGGUGGCACAAACAGGUCCUCUAUGUCUCAGUCAUUCUCAGCAUCUGCUACAAUGGCAGGAUAGUUGGCCAGAGGCAGAUUAUCUCGCAGCAAGGGUUCAAUGAACGUGAAAAUCUCGCCAUCAAAAAGAUCGAGUUUCAUUGCUGUUGGCCCCCAA